rnacentral:lncRNA from 1 species
CCCGCCCCCUAGGUCAGUCUCAAGACUCUCAAACGUGAGUGCAUCACAGUCACCUGGAAGGCCUGGGGACACCGAGCCCCAGAGUUUCUCAUCCUGGACCUCCCUUUCAGGCUGCCAUGCCCCGGCCCUGCACUCAGCAAGACUUUCCGGCCUCUGGGCCUUUCUUCGCUCUGGGUCUUGCUGCCUGGGGUGCCCGCCCUCCCACUUCUCAAGGGCUAACUGCUGCUCCUGUUUUAAGUAGUAGUCAGAGCAACCACUCAUUGAUCAGCAACCAAACCUGCCUCCCUCUUCACCUGGAGAACAACAUUACCCAGGGAGCUACAGGUCCCAGGAGGACAGGAGACAAGGCCUGGAGCUCAGCCCAGCCAUGCCCAGCCUGGAUCAGCCCCGCCUGCUGAACUGCAGGCAAGUGAGCCAGAAAACAAAUGCUGGUUCUGUGCAGCUGAAAUUUCCAAGUUGUUACACAGUAAAAGUUGCCUGACACAGGAGCGAAAACUGGGAGAGCUUUUAGUAUCUAUCAAAAUGUUUAAUGACAUGCCCUUUGACCCAGUGUCCUAAUUCCAGGUGCUGGGCUACUGGAACACUCCAGCUCGAAACAUGUGAACAAUGAUCUUUAGACCGACUCCCGUGUGGUAAGAGACGGUGUGCGCCCUGUCCCAUGUGAUAGAUGGGGCUGUCCAGGCAUUGAGGCGUGAAAUCACUUAGCAGGUCACACAGGGUGCCCCUGGGGGACUAGGAAGACUCCGGAGCUGCGCUGCCCCUCCACUGGAAGCAACAGCCCCAGGGGUCAACAGCCCCCAUAGCAGCAUGUGUGUGGGCACCACCUGGCCUGUCUGCGGCCACAGAUCAUUGACUUGAGAGCCCCGCCGUUUUAUCAUCUUGGGAGCCUUUUCCAAGCAGGACCCACAGCCCCCCUACAAGCAGCUCCAAUCCCCAGGGGGCUGCCAGGGGCUUAAGAUUGGCUGUGAAAACUCGUAAGAUAGAAAGCCCGGGGAAAGAAGAAUUUCCCAUCGGAUUGAAGUUGACUGUUUUCCAUUCAGCCCUCAGACAGCCAAUCUUUUCACCAAAGAACUGCAUUUUUCAAACUCUUUUUUCCCCCUGGUCCUCCAGCGGCCUCUUAGAUGGGAUGGCGGGAAAGCCUCCCUGGGUGAGAAGAUGCUCAGGGCCAGUGUUGGGGUUCGCCACCUGGGCCCCCCACCUCCUUCCUCAGCCACUCAUGGAAGGCCAAGGGGAGGAAAAUUGACUUAACACAGGGGCUCCGUGGACACCUCCGCAGAGAAGUUCGUCUUUUGUUGGGGGGAAGCCCAGACCGGAUCUCGGAGCUGGGAAAUAGAUCUGUUUGCUCGCUGUCCCCACUCGCCUCUCGGUUCAUCUGUCUCUGUUAGCUCAGUGCUGAUAAUUCUGUCGAGUUGGAGCGCUCGCCUGGCUUGGCAGUGAAUUGAGUCGAGAAGGUUUUUCCAUGAAGAAACAUAGAUGCCGUUGUCAGAGUUGGGGCGGGGGAGGGGGAGGUGGCUUCACGUAGUGGGUUGGAGCCAUCGGGGUCUUCAGGCCCAGCAGAGAGGAUGCGCACCUGUGCAUCAGCUUGUGGCAACUGCUCGCCUGCAGGGAAGAGAUGAGCUGAGAAAACGGUACUGUCCUGGAUGUCUGGCUGGAGAGAACCACUGCAUCUUUCUGUAUCAGGCAUUAGAGGAAGGCCUCAUUCAUUUUUAAACUGUUGCAGAGUGUUCCAUUGUAGGCAUGUGGUGUGGCAGCCAUGAUGGCAUAGGAGGUGGCCAUUGAGUGAAUGAGUGUGGGCACAGGGCUGGUGGUCCACAGGCCGAUCAGUGAUUUAGGAGGUGCUGAGCACAAAGCCUUGCCCAAUUCGUAUACCAACAUUCACCUCCGGGCCAGCACAGUCUCUUCCUACAAGGCAGGUGCUGUCACCAUUUUAUAGAUGAGUAAACUGAGGCACAGAGAAGUGAAGAAACUUGCCCAAGAUCACACAGCUAAUAAGUGGGAGAGCCAGGAUGCAAACCCAGGCCUGACUGACCCCAAAGACACCCAUGCCUGUAACUACCGCCUCUCUAGAUGGCCCAGGACUCUGGAAAUUUGCCCAAGUCAUGCUGUGGAUAGAGAAGAUAAGAAAACGUGGAGUCUCUUGGAGUCCCAGGUCUUACGGUAACCUCCCUGUCCACACUCAACAGCUUUAAGUGGCCAGGGUGGGACUCUGGCUGUGGUCAGCAGCCUGAUCUGAAGCCCUUGGCUUUUGGUUCGCUUUUGCCUAAAGUAACCAGAUAAUUGCAGCUGAAGCGAGUCACUCAGCUGGAAUUGCAGAAGCCAAGUGCCUCCCUACUGGACUUGCUCUUCUGCAGUCUUUGCUCUUCUGUUACCCUCUCUGGAAUGAUCACUGCCAAAGCCAGGACCCAGGGCCCCAGCAUCAUCUCUUUGUCUUGGGGCACAGCUCGGGGUACACAUGAUGCCAACUGAGUUCUCCCCAAACUCUGAUACAACCCAGAGCUGGAGCCAGCUGGGGUGGUCCCUCUGCCUGGCAGCUCCUGGCAGACAUGCCGCUUGGGGCUCCAGCACACUCACUCCUCUGCAUCCAGCACUCCUGGGCUGGGCCAACACUAAUAUUUACAUUUGAUGGCAAGGCUGCAGCCCAGGGCCGCUCCCCAACCCUGUGGUUCUCCUGGGCACGGGGGAUGGAUCUGCAGAGUCGGGGGUUGGAGACAGCUUAUGUGGGCUGAACGGGAGUCAUGGGGGAUGGCAGGCAGGAAAUUAGACCCAAGUCCUCAAAUAGCAAAAAUAACUAUACUGAUAACAAUAGCAAUUAUUUACAAAGUACUUACUAUAUGCCAAAGGCUGGGAUAAGUCUUCCCUAUGCAUUUUCAUCUUAGUUCUCAUCCGAGUGCUUCAAGGCAGGUGCAUUAUAGUUUUAAAGGCUAGAAAACAGAGGCAAAGUCAGUGGCAUGCCCAAGGUCACACAGCUAGUAAGCGAUGGGCCUGGAUGGCCAGCUGAGUCAACGAGCCUUGGGAAUUCUAAAAUCAAAUGCUGACGGGGACCAGGCAUUUAAUGCAGUGAGUGAAGCCUGGUAAGCUUAAGACGAUAGGGAGUGGUGGGGCCUGGGGCACACUGGAGAGGGACCCCCUUACCUAAUGCUCAGUUCUAGCUAGUUGUUGCCACAGGGAAAUGCAGACCUAGUGGGGCCAGCUCGUCUGAUUUUCAAGAGAAAAUCUUAGCAUGUUUGUUUCUAUAAUCAGGGGGAAAAUACAUAUUUAUACAUCUACAGGUCUUUAUUUGAAGUCUUCCAAUUUUUAAACGUUGGCAACACAUUCUUUUUCUAAAAACAACACAGUGGGAGCCAAGUCAAACACGGCUUCGGGUGGUACCUCUGCUCUCUCUGCAAAGCCCAGCUUGUUCACCCCUGCGCUCUGCUUCCUUCAUGCAGAAAGCAAGAGGGAGACUUCAGCUCAAAGGCCUUCUGUCUGGACCGUCACCCUGGAGCCACUUUCGGGGUGGAUACAUGGGGGAAACGUCACCCUUAGAGCCAGACAUUCAGGGCCCCACUGGCCCCCACGCAGCAGAAGGCCUUGCUCUGGCCCACCUCCCGCGGCCCUCCUUCCUGGGAUGAGGAGGUUCUGCUGAGGCGAGGGCACGUGCCCACCCAGAGCUCACAUCCCCUCCUCUGCACCAGCCUCCGGGCCCUGGGGACCCCAGAAUUCCCUGCCCCAAAGCCUCGAGCCCUCUUUCAGGACCAGUGGAUCAGUUUUCCGUUGCUAGAAAGGAAACCACUUAAACUGCACAGUGUGAAACCACUAUCAUCUCAUUGUGAGAACUCCCUCCCACGGUCCUGGGCCUGUCGGGGGUUGGGGGGGUGGGUGUAAUCAUUCUCCCCUGGGUUGCUCCUGACGUCCAGUCGGACGGUGGCUGGGGCCACAGCCAUCUGGAGGUUCUUCACCCACACGUCUGCGGUCGAUCUUACGGUCGGCUGAGGCCUCCGCCGGGGCUGCCGGCCAGAACAUCUGCGCAUGGCCUCUCCAUGGGGCCCGUGCUCCCUCACCUUGUGGCCAGUGGUUCUAGAAACAAGUGUCCCAGGAGGGAGACCCAGGAGGAAGCCGAAUCACCUUUCAGGACCCGCUUCCAGAGGCCCUUCUGUCAUGUUAUUGGUAGAGGCAGAAACAAAAGUCUGGCCAGGUCCGGGGAGGGAUGGGGGCAAGGUUGAUGGCCGCGGGGCUAGGUUACACGGUAGAAGAGUCCACGGCGUGGGAGAUGUUUCUGUGGCCAUUUUGGAGAAUAUUUUCUGCCCUAGCCUGCAUGUUUCUCUUCCCCCGAGCACCUCCCGAGGAUGCAGGGCAGUGGUGAGGCCAAGGGGCCGCCGCAGGGGGCUGGGAGUGGAUGGACGGGGCGCAGGCUGGCUGCGCACGCGCGGCGCACGCGGACCUCGACCCUGCCGUUAGGGACAGGCUGUCUGGAGGGCGGGGCAGGCCCUCUGGAUUUGCUUUGAGGAGUCCCCACCGAGAGCCACACGUGGAAAGGCAGAGGUCGGCUCCUAGGGGAUCCGAGUGACAGCCGCUGCUGAGCAGGAAGGGCCCGUGGGGAGGCGAAGAGAGAUGGAGAUAAAUGACCUGCUGUGUGUGCACCAGCCUCCUGGCGAACUCGUCUUGACAGUGUGGAAAGGAGAAAAGUUGAAAAACAUGGAUAAGUGAAAACUACCUACCAUCAGAAUACCUAGAGAAAAGCACUCUUUCAACAAGUUGGUAGACCAAGGACUUGCCUGGGAGAGAAGAAUCUAGCAUUCUGGCCUUCACCUUGGGAUUC